AGCGAACGCUGGCGGCGUGCUUAACACAUGCAAGUCGAGCGAAGGUGUUUCAAGGGUAACCUUGAGAUACACUUAGCGGCGGACGGGUGAGUAAUACGUGGAUAACUUACCUCUAGGCCUGGGAUAACCCCGGGAACGUGGGGCUAAUACCUGAUAAGACCACAUUGUCUACGGACAAAGGGGUAAAAGGUGGCUGUGCAAACAGCUAUCGCCAAAAGAUAGGUUCACGUCCCAUCAGGCAGUUGGCGAGGUAAUGGCUCACCAAACCAAAGACGGGUAGCC
rnacentral:rRNA from 1 species